CGGGUGAGUAACACGUGGGCAAUCUACCUUUCGGUGAGGAAUACCGGCGAGAAAUCGCCGACAAUACCGCAUACGCUCGGGCAACCGAGCAAAGUCGCAAGACGCCGGAGGAGGAGCCUGCGCCCGAUUAGCUAGUUGGUGGAGUAAUGGUCUACCAAGGCGACGAUCGGUAGCUGGUCUGAGAGGAUGAUCAGCCACACUGGGAUUGAGAACGGCCCAG
rnacentral:rRNA from 1 species